GUCCACGCCGUAAACGAUGAAUGCCAGCCGUUAGUGGGUUUACUCACUAGUGGCGCAGCUAACGCUUUAAGCAUUCCGCCUGGGGAGUACGGUCGCAAGAUUAAAACUCAAAGGAAUUGACGGGGGCCCUCACAAGCGGUGGAGCAUGUGGUUUAAUUCGACGCAACGCGCAGAACCUUACCAGCCCUUGACAUCCCGGUCGCGGAUUCCAGAGACGGAGUCCUUCAGUUCGGCUGGACCGGAGACAGGUGCUGCAUGGCUGUCGU
rnacentral:rRNA from 1 species